rnacentral:miRNA from 1 species
CCUCGUGGAAUCAGGCCUUUAAGGCGGUUUUCCACUAGGCGGAAUUUUUCGACCGAAUCGAAAUUUCUCUUUGUUUCAUGAGCUCUCAAGCAGAACUAAUUGUAAAAAGACAAAGAGAAAUUUCGUUUCGGUCGAAAAAUUCCGCCUCGUGGAAUCCGGCCUUAAAGGCGGUUUUCCACUAGG